GGAAGGAUCAUUAUCGAAUAUAAACUUGGAUGGACUGUUGCUGGCUUUUCUUUGAGGGGCAUGUGCACGUUUAUCCUCUUUAUUUUUCCACCUGUGCACCUUUUGUAGGCUUGGAUUAUUAGUGGUUCUAAUGUGUCUUUCAAAGGCAUAAGAAUCGUUUUGGGACUGCUGUGUUUAAACGCAUGUUUAUCGGCUUUCCCUUUUAUUUUCCAAGUCUAUGUUUGCUAUAUACACUCCAGAAAUGUAAUAGAAUGCUGUACUUUAGGUCAUUUGUACCUAUAAUAAAAUCAGUACAACUUUCAGCAACGGAUCUCUUGGCUCUCGCAUCGAUGAAGAACGCAGCGAAAUGCGAUAAGUAAUGUGAAUUGCAGAAUUCAGUGAAUCAUCGAAUCUUUGAACGCAUCUUGCGCUCCCUGGUAUUCCAAGGAGCAUGCCUGUUUGAGUAUCAUUAAAUUAUCAACUGUGCCACUUUGGUUCACAGAUUGGAUGUGGGAGAUUUCUUGCAGGCUUUUGACUAGUCAGCUCUCCUGAAAUGUAUUAGCAGUGCCUUUGUUGGUUCAUUAGGUGUGAUAAUUUAUCUACAUCUUCACAUGGUACCUUCAUUUGUAAAGGUCAUAUUGCUUCUAAUUGUCUUUGGACAAAGAAACAUAUAAUGUGUGACAAACUUGAUCUCAAAUCAGGCAGGACUACCCGCUGAACUUAAGCAUAUCAAUAAGCGGAGGAAAAGAAACUAACAAGGAUUCCCCUAGUAACUGCGAGUGAAGCGGGAAAAGCUCAAAUUUAAAAUCUGACAGUUGUUCUGGCUGUCCGAGUUGUAAUCUAGAGAAGUGUUACCCGCGCUGGACCGUGUACAAGUCUCCUGGAAUGGAGCAUCAUAGAGGGUGAGAAUCCCGUCUUUGACAUGGACUACCAGGGCUUUGUGGUGCGCUCUCAAAGAGUCGAGUUGUUU
rnacentral:rRNA from 1 species